rnacentral:rRNA from 1 species
GGCUACGAGGACGACGCUGGCGGCGCGCCUAACACAUGCAAGUCGAACGGAGCUUAGAGAGCUUGCUUUUUAAGCUUAGUGGCGAACGGGUGAGUAACGCGUGAGUAACCUGCCCUGGAGUGGGGGACAACAGUUGGAAACGACUGCUAAUACCGCAUAAGCCCACGGUACCGCAUGGUACUGAGGGAAAAGGAUUUAUUCGCUUUAGGAUGGACUCGCGUCCAAUUAGCUAGUUGGUGAGGUAACGGCCCACCAAGGCGACGAUUGGUAGCCGGACUGAGAGGUUGAACGGCCACAUUGGGACUGAGACACGGCCCAGACUCCUACGGGAGGCAGCAGUGGGGGAUAUUGCACAAUGGGGGAAACCCUGAUGCAGCGACGCCGCGUGGAGGAAGAAGGUUUUCGGAUUGUAAACUCCUGUCGUUAGGGACGAUAAUGACGGUACCUAACAAGAAAGCACCGGCUAACUACGUG